UGGUGGAGUGAUUUGUCUGGUAAGUAUCACUAUGUAUGAAACAUUUACUUUAACUAUUCUGGUUAUGUUUGCGAUUGAUUCUAACUAGCUCGUAUCAUCGUUCUUUGUCUACAGGUUAAUUCCGUUAACGAACGAGACCGCUGCCUGCUAAAUAGUCCAGUGAGUGAAUUUCACUGACCGGGACUUCUUAGAGGGACGUGCAUUCUAUUAGAUGCAGGAAGAUAG
rnacentral:rRNA from 1 species